UACGGGGGGAGCAAGCGUUGUUCGGAUUUACUGGGCGUAAAGGGCGCGUAGGCGGUCAGCACAAGUCAGUUGUGAAAUCUCCGGGCUCAACUCGGAAAGGUCAACUGAUACUGUGCGACUAGAGUGCGGAAGGGGCAACUGGAAUUCUCGGUGUAGCGGUGAAAUGCGCAGAUAUCAGGAAGAACACCAAUGGCGAAAGCAGCUUUCUGGGACGGUACUGACGCUGAGACGCGAAAGCGUGGGGAGCGAACAGG
rnacentral:rRNA from 1 species